CCUACGGGAGGCAGCAGUGAGGAAUAUUGGUCAAUGGACGAGAGUCUGAACCAGCCAAGUAGCGUGAAGGAUGACUGCCCUAUGGGUUGUAAACUUCUUUUAUAUGGGAAUAAAAUGUUCCACGUGUGGGAUUUUGUAUGUACCAUAUGAAUACGGAUCGGCUAACUCCGUGCCAGCAGCCGCGGUAAUACGGAGGAUCCGAGCGUUAUCCGGAUUUAUUGGGGUUAAAGGGAGCGUAGGUGGAUUGUUAAGUCAGUUGUGAAAGUUUGCGGCUCAACCGUAAAAUUGCAGUUGAAACUGGCAGUCUUGAGUACAGUAGAGGUGGGCGGAAUUCGUGGUGUAGCGGUGAAAUGCUUAGAUAUCACGAAGAACUCCGAUUGCGAAGGCAGCUCACUGGACUGCAACUGACACUGAGGCGCGAAAGUGUGGGUAGCAAACAGGAUUAGAUACCCGUGUAGUC
rnacentral:rRNA from 1 species